rnacentral:rRNA from 1 species
CAAUAGCGUAUAUUAAAGUUGUUGCAGUUAAAAAGCUCGUAGUUGAAUUUCUGUCAGGAGUGACCGGGCCUUUGGAUGAACUUCCAUUGUUUUUUGCUCUGUUUGUCAUCUCUAGACGUCCUGAAAUAUUUUUUAAAAAUAUUUCUCUUUUACUGUUAGCAAAAUAGAGUGUUCCAAGCAAAGCGUAGUUUUGAAUACAUUAGAAUGGAAUAAUAAGAUAGGACUUUGGUGCUAUUUUGUUGGUUUGCACACCAAGGUAAUGAUUAAUAGGGACAGUUGGGGGUAUUCGUAUUUAAUUGUCAGAGGUGAAAUUCUUGGAUUUAUGAAAGACGAACUACUGCGAAAGCAUUUACCAAGGAUGUUUUCAUUAA